UUAACUGAAAUAAAUAAUAAAUAAAUAUAUACAUGAAUUGUAGGACUGUGUAUUGAUGCGUUCUCGGGUUAUCCUCCUUUUUGGCAGAAAAGUAAGUUAAUUGUCAUACAAGUCAUCUAACGGUAGGUCUACGAAAUGAGCUGUUUCUUUCUGACCUAUUAUGUCAAUUAUUGCUAAUUAAUAUAAGAAAAAUUAUAAUACGAAUAAAUUAAAAUAUUUUUCUAUUAAAGACAGUAGGUGUAUAGUAUAUACUAUAAGCAAACGGUGCAUAUUUGACCUAAUCGUAGUAUUUAAAACGAGCAAAGACCAAAAGAGUAGCCGAGAACAUUUUAUAAAAACAUAUAAUCAAUACAAUCCCACAACGUACGACUUCCGACCUGCGAAAAUGCAACUGCCGACUUUUCAACCAUGCCUGUUAAACCAAUCAAUCCUGUUAAACAUGUGACACAUAAACCUCCAUAAAAAUAACAGUAUAAUUAACAUCAAGUCAAUGAACAACUAAACAAAAUGCGACGCGAACAAACCUCAAAAGAGUAGUUAAUGGUAAUAAUAGCUGAACUCUACUAACACUGGGCCCAAUGUGAUAGCCCUUGUAUUUUAUUCUGGGCCGUAAAAUAAUUUUGGUUUUUGAGCUUUUCAAAUAGUUUUUACUAAUUUAAGGAGGGAUAUAUAUUAGGGCUGUUAAAAUAAUUUGAAUAACAUGAAAACGGAUUAUUUGAAAAUCCGGUUUGUAAAAGUUUCUAUGAAUAUUGGCAUUGCGACUAUUCGAAUAGUUGCUCUGCUGCGAGUAUUUGAAUAAAUGAAAAUUGUUUGAAAUCCAAGUAGCCUUUGAUUUUUGCUUGUUUUAAAUAUGUGAAAAUGCUAAUUAUGCGCGUAUAUACUCCAAAUUUCCUAUAAACUUAUACAUAUAUAUAAUAAAUAAAUGUUCUAUAAACUUAUAUAGAAAAUGAAUGAACGCCUACUAUUCGAAUAGUUGACAACGAACGGUUAACCGGAUAGUCGAAAAUGAGUCGACGACUUACGACUAUCCAAUGCUGCAAACCGAAUAUUAUUAUUCGAAUAAUGCCCUAUCCGGUUAGUCGAAUACCAAGAGCGUUAAUAUAUAUGUAUGCUAUAUCUGUACGGUAUAAAUAUGCUGUAUCUACUAAGAUAUUAUUUACACGUGAUCUGAUGUUACGGUAUUAAAUAUAAACAAAAUAUCAUAAGCAAGAUCGCAAAACAAAUGAAAGGAUUUUAAUGACUAACUACAGAUGAAUGAUAUAAAGUCCGCAAAGAAUAUAACGUUUGUGAAAUUUUUGUGUUAUAAAUCUUUCCCACUAAAUUUCUUUCAUCCUUAAAGUAUUCAAAAUUAUUGCACUGUAAUAUUCAUAGCUACCAUCCAAACUGACCGAUCACAAUCAAGAUAAUCUUCACAGAGAUACUUUUCAGAUUUAGUUAUACGUAUAGUUGCUGUAAGAAAAGCAUCUGUGAAGGGUAUUAUAACUUCGGUGUAGCUGAAGUUUUCGUUUUUUCUUGCUUUUAAUAUCAUCAGUUUAUUUUAUUUUUUAAUAAAUCAAUCAAGCAUCAAUGAAGACAUUGAAACAAUACUGGUCGAAAUCCAUACCGCUUUAGCCUCGAUAAAUAUUUGAUAAAUUAUAUUAAGUCGGCAUGUUUUCCCGACUACAAUAUGCUAAUUAGUAUCAAAAAUUAAUAACAAUCUUUCCAUAUUUUGUGUAGGGUAAACUUUGUUUUAUUUGUGUAGGGUAUUAAAGCUUUGGUACAACCGAAAUUAACGUUUUUUUUUAUUGUUUAUGAUUUCUUUUUUGCAUUCACCUGGAAAUAUUUCGCAUGUACUUCUUUAUUUGUAACUACUUUGCUUUUUCUUGAAAUUGAAUUCGAAGCUAGAGUUGAGAAAAUAUUGCGUUAAAAUUAUUAAACUUAAGAAUUACGAAAAAUUAAAUCUUAAGUAGUCUGACUGCGUAAGAGUCACUAACUUCAAAUAAAAAUGUUGUUAAAUACAUAAAUAAAGUCUGCGCGUCUACAGCUAUCAAAAACUUUAUGGCAAGUUUUAAGUGUUCAUGCUAAUUGAGCGGGUUAGAUUAGUUAAAUGCUUUUAAUACGAACCUGUAUUAUAGCUUGAUGAUUUCGGUAAAUUAACAACAUCACGACGGAAAGAAGAAAGAUUUUGCGUAAAUCUAAAACUCGAACAAAUUAAUAACAACAUAUAUUAAAAUUAAAAUACAAAUCACACACUUCUCUUUAUUUUUGCUAGAAACGUUGCGUUCUAUCCCGACCAUAAGAUCAUCAAACCACUGUGCCAUUGUUUGUUGUUUAUCCAAUGGUUGCGAACGGAUUAUGUUAUCUUUCAAAGAUCU